rnacentral:rRNA from 1 species
GAUGAACGCUGGCGGCGUGCUUAACACAUGCAAGUCGAACGGAGAAGCCCAGCUUUCUUGGUGUGUUCGUGUGGCACGGGUGAGUGUCACGCGAGUAUCACCUGCUCUUCACUGUGGUAUACCUUCAGAACUGUGUCGAUUAUACCGUACAGCCGCUCCCGGUGCGUGGUGGUGGUUGAAAGGUUUUGUGGUUUGGGAUGGACUCGCGGCCUAUCAGCCUGUUGGUGAGGGAAUGGCUUACCAAGGCGUUGACGGGUAGCCGGCCUGAGAGGGUGACCGGCCACACUGGGACUGAGAUACGGCCCAGACUCCUACGGGAGGCAGCAGUGGGGAAUAUUGCACAAUGGGCGAAAGCCUGAUGCAGCGACGCCGCGUGAGGGAUGACGGCCUUCGGGUUGUAAACCGCUUUCGGUUGGGACGAAGCGAGAGUGACGGUACUUGGAGAAGAAGCGCCGGCUAACUACGUG